ACCCCUCACCUCCGCCCGAUGUCUGGCUACGCUAAUGGUAGAAAGGAGUAAGGCGACCUUAGAACUCUUGUCAUGAGGUGUAUUACUUAUAAUAUUCAAGGGUUUUUAAGAGGGAAUCAUGAUUCCAGGAUUCUGAAGGGUCUGUAAAACGCACCUUUCAAUUUCAAGCAUGUCGAGGACCUGCAUGCACCAUGUGUCGUCAAACAAAAUUUACUGUGCAUGAUAGCAGCUGAAUAAGAGAAGCCUCAUCGAAAUUUUGCAGCAUUUGCAAUGCUUAACAUGCCAGAGAAGAACAUAGGCACUACACCCUCCUGCCGUCAGCUUUCCAGUAACUACAAUUCUCCAGAGCUUGAAAACACUUCUCCUAUAUUUGGCCUAAUUUUUUUUCGACGGAGGAGGUACAUCCACACAUUCUGUAACGGCACACUAUUUCAGCAAAUAAAUGUUUACUUCCUACCACAAAGUUACCAUCUACACUACGAAAAAAUAAGAAAAAGAAAAA